rnacentral:lncRNA from 1 species
AGAAAAUGAAAACAAAACAAAACACCAAAGUCAUUGCCCCUGAAGCAACUAUAAUUUUCUUUUCUUCUCAGAUGAACCCCACCUUCUCCACCAGCGAAUUUUAGAUUUAUUGGAUUUCUCCUAGCCACCAAGAAAAAUGAAUUUGAAGAGAUUCAACUUCUUACCUUCAAAUUUGAGCUGGCUCCAGCACACUCUUGAAACACACCUGGAGAGAACUCAAGCUAAUGCUAUACAGAAGAGCCAUCCAAGGGAAACUUCCCAAAGACUAGUUCCUUCUUUUUGGCUUUGUCCUGGCAAAAGUCUCCAAACAUCAGGAGUGCUCCACCCAAAAUGUAAUAUGAGGAAAACUUCAGGGGAUGGAACAAAGUAACAGAUGUAAACAACAUUUUCUAAGAACUCUUCUUAUUGACACAGGACAUUGAAUUGGCCAACACAUUUGCCUCGUUAAAG